GCUGAAGUUAAUAAGUCUCGUACACAAAGGUAAGGGUUCCUCAAUUCUUGCUGCACUCAAUGCCAUUCUUCCUGCUGUUUGGUUUAAGUCCGUGGGGUAAUAGAAUAGCUUGACCCUCAUUUAAAGAAAAGAAGGUUUACCCAUUUGAUUGAAACGACUCGAAUAGCUUAUGUACACCGCGCUUAAUAAGUUAGGGCAAAUACGGCUUGAACUUCAUCUUUCUAUUAAGUAGAAGGCCUUGACACCUCUUUAAUAAAACCACCUCCUUUUGUUUUGCCCCGAUUCACUCCAGCUAGAAGAUACUGCUCCAUUAUGUGGGCAUGAGAUUAUGGAUUCGCGCUUAUGCAGAGGAUUCCACCUGUUUUCGUAGAGCG
rnacentral:lncRNA from 1 species